AACGUAGGACACAAGCGUUAUCCGGAGUUACUGGGCGUAAAGGGCGUGUAGGCGGAGCUAUAAGUCUAUUCUGAAAGCUCCUGGCUAAACUGGGAGAGGCGAAUGGAGACUGUAGAUCUAGAGUAAGGAAGAGGAAAGUGGAAUUCCGCGUGUAGUGGUGAAAUGCGUAGAGAUGCGGAGGAACACCAGUGGCGAAAGCGACUUUCUGGUCCUUAACUGACGCUGAGGCGCGAAAGCAUGGGGAGCGAACGGG
rnacentral:misc_RNA from 1 species